rnacentral:rRNA from 1 species
ACAUGCCUACAACAUUGUGUUAUUGCAUUGGAUCCCAUUAGAAAUCUGUAGUUAAGUGCACUCAGGAUAGAGUAGUAUCGUGAUGGGUGAUCACUCGAGAAGUCUUAGUGUUUUACAUGCC